GGAUCUGAGAAACAAAAAGACUUAAUAUCGCUCAUUUUUAGUUAUCAAAUAGCAAUAAAAAAUAAUUGUUAUAAUGAAUCCACCAUGAUAUUUAACACGAACAAUGCUAUUUAUUUCCAUUACAAAAUUAACAUCGAGGAAUACAACAUGUAAGCUCAUGUACCCGUGGUUACAAUGUUUAUCUGAACACUAUUUAUCAGUUUAUAGCUACAUUUUAAUGCUGAACAAGUUCGUUCCUCCUAUUACUUUUGUUAUAGCCGAAAUAAAAAAUUCACUUCAGCUCAAUUUUCUUUGUAUAGCACUUUGAACAAAAAAUUCAGGAUAUAAAUUAUAAAAUGUAAAUUGAUCCCUAAAGCAAGUCAGACAAGAAAAAACUCUGUGACAAUAUAAGAAAGACACCCUGAGAGACUCAAAAAGGAACAUCUUUUAUAAAUAAAUAAAUAAAUAAAUGAAGGAAAAGAAGAGUUGUUCUCUCCUCAGCUUCAUUUUUUUCUCUAUUGCAGACCAAGGAACCAUUGUGAUGUUCUUGAGAACCUGGAAAGUGCAAAGUCUUCUGUCCUUAUACAGUACCUUUCACAUGACUCCAUCCGUAAGAGUCAAUCAUCUCCUUUAAAUAAACUUAACCCUAAUUAUGUUUUUCUUCAAUAAUAAACGAGCUGUUACAACAGAAAUGAUAACAGAAUAGAAUGAAAUUGCACAAAUGCAAACCUCAGAGCUGCUGUUAUAGAAAAUCAAUCAACAUCUUUUUUAAUUAGAGAAUUCAACAGUGAUGGCAUAUGAAUAAUGGAGUGCAUGGAACCUGUGCGUAGGUUGUGAUAAACUUCAGGGGAAAAUGAAGGUUCUGGUUACAUAUAAAACCAAACACAAAACCUUCCAGGUUUCUCAGACAAAAGUUUCAUUCUGAUUGGGGAGGUCUGUUGUAACUCCAUGAGCACUGCAGUGUGUGCUAGCUGAAUGAGAACAUUUGAAAUCUGGAAACGAUUAGCUCAUUAAGGCUGAGUGAGUCACGGCGGCGCCUGCCACAUGGCCUGCUUUAUGAAGGCUGAUCUGUGUUGUGAUUGGUGCACGAUAUGAGUAAGAGUAGAGGAAACCCAGCCUCCAAAACACCAAAGGCCAGACACAUCUGGAUAAAACCUAAAAAAGCAUCUGGAUGAGAUCUCAAAGACAUCUAACAACGCGUGUUCGAUCUGAGCUUGACUUGUGCUCUCUUCUACUGCCAAAUCCUCAAGGCUUUCAUGGAUGGAAAAAAAAGGGGCUGAAAAAGGAGUGACUCACCGCUCCAGGGCUGGGCCUGCACCACCUGACUCCAUUCACUCCACUGGCUGUGGUUAAUGAAAGCGUCCUGGGCUCGUACUCUGAUGUAGUAUGGAAAAGUGGACGAGUCGCCAUUUAAAAUCUCACCUUGGACCAGAAUUUGGAGCCGACGGGUUUGUACUGCAGCUCGAACUUCAGUGGAAAGGCGACGGAUGCGUCCGAGGGCCACGAGUCGGGCGGCUUCCACCGUA